rnacentral:rRNA from 1 species
AUUGAACGCUGGCGGCAGGCCUAACACAUGCAAGUCGAGCGGCGCGGGGGACGGGGGCGUAAUGACUAGGAAUCUGCCUCGCCGUGGGGGCUAAAGAACGGAAAUGGGCGCUAAUACCGACUCCUAUCAGAUAAGCCUAUGUGGGUUUAGCUAGUUGGUGGGGUAAAGGCCUACCAAGGCGACGACCCGUAGCUGGUCUGAGAGGAUGAUCAGUCACACUGGAACUGAGACACGGUCCAGACUCCUACGGGAGGCAUCAGUGGGGAAUAUUGGACAAUGGGCGAAAGCCUGAUGCAGCCAUGCCGCGUGUGUGAAGAAGGUCUUCGGAUUGUAAAGCACUUUAAGUUGGGAGGCGUUACCAGCAGAAGAAGCACCGGCUAACUUCGUGCCCGCAGCCGCGGUAAUUC